UGGGGAAUCUUCCGCAAUGGACGAAAGUCUGACGGAGCAACGCCGCGUGAGUGAAGAAGGUUUUCGGAUCGUAAAACUCUGUCUUUUGGGGCGAACGUGAGUAUGGUGAACAAUCAUAGUCAGUGACGGUACCAAAGGAGGAAGCCACGGCUAACUACGUGCCAGCAGCCGCGGUAAUACGUAGGUGGCAAGCGUUGUCCGGAAUUAUUGGGCGUAAAGAGCGCGUAGGCGGGAUAGUCAGUCUGUUGUAAAGUGCGGGCUCAACCCCGUGAUGGCAAUGGAAACAGCUAUUCUUGAGUGCAGGAGAGGAAAGUGGAAUUCCCAGUGUAGCGGUGAAAUGCGUAGAUAUUGGGAGGAACACCAGUGGCGAAGGCGACUUUCUGGACUGUGUCUGACGCUGAGGCGCGAAAGCCAGGGGAGCGAACGGGAUUAGAUACCCCGGUAGUCCUGGCCGUAAACGAUGGGUACUAGGUGUGGGAGGUAUCGACCCCCUUCCGUGCCGGAGUUAACGCAAUAAGUACCCCGCCUGGGAAGUACGAUCGCAAGAUUAAAACUCAAAUUGAAUUGACGGGGGUCAUAGCUGUUUCCUG
rnacentral:rRNA from 1 species